rnacentral:rRNA from 1 species
CACGUAGUGGCCAAGCGUUGUCCGGAUUUAUUGGGCGUAAAGAGCUCGUAGGCGGUUCGGUAAGUCGGGUGUGAAACCUCCAGGCUCAACCUGGAGACGCCACCCGAUACUGCUGUGACUGGAGUCCGGUAGGGGAGCGUGGAAUUCCUGGUGUAGCGGUGAAAUGCGCAGAUAUCAGGAGGAACACCAGCGGCGAAGGCGGCGCUCUGGGCCGGUACUGACGCUGAGGAGCGAAAGCGUGGGUAGCAAACAGG